GUAACACCUACGUCUCGUUUACAUUGGCCCAGACGAGCCAAAGACGCUAUCACUUCACUCCCUUGUUGCUAAAGAACGGAAACGGGUAUCACUACGCAGUACAAGUUCAGACAAACGGUUAGUUUUCUAUCACGUUCCAGACAAAACGCAUCUUGCCCAAUAAAUUCACCUUUAUUUCUUCAUAAUAAUUUUUCGCUAAUCAACAUGUUUAUAGGUAAUUCAUAAGAGAAUAAGUUAUUCUUUAUAUCUUGUGCAUCCGAAAAUCCAACAAACAGCAGUCAAGAUAUAGCAGUGCUGGAUGCCUUCCACUUCUCCAUGGCGGGGAAAAACGGAUCAAAACCCGAUGAAAUUGUUACGACUAUGACAGCCUUGAUGCGUGUGACCAGUGCUUGACUCCUAGUUUGCUUUUCCCGAAAAGGUAUUUGCCGUUUGCUGUCGUCUCCAUGUCACCCCCCCCCCCCCCCACCCUAACCUGAGGGCCACUUUGCAGCACCAUUAAAAACUGUUGAUGCUCUGACCGAUUUAGGAUUAGCAGCGGUGAGGACGAUACCUUUACAGUCAACAGCCGCUUCAGUUUCAACCCUAUACAUUUGACCUAAAGAAUUGAUUAAGUCACCGUCACUCGGCCUCCACAUCAGCAACCAACAGGGCAUCGCCAUGGACUACGUUUCAUGUGACGAAAUCAUUGCCACCAAGGGUGAUCUCAUUGCAUUUCGCCGGUUUUUCCUCUGGUUUUUCCUGCGUUUAUUUGUGCCGUCCAAGUUUAUUAAUUAUCGCCCGUGGCAAUGGCUUGUGUACUGUCAUUUUGCUGUCUGCACUGAAAGUGCAUCUGUAAGUGGAGAAAUUAUUCCCAAGGAAAUUUGUAACAGAAUCACUAUAGGCGUUGAUACCCCAAAGUGGUUUACGUGGUUUGGUAUACGGUUGCCGUUUAGUGUUACUAAACUUGUAGAGAAGACCAUGCAAACCCUGUGUGACCAACACGGGUGUCGAGUGAACAAUCAUGACGAGUUUGCCAGAAAAAAAAAAUUGGUCAUCAAUACACCUGACGAUGUUGUUAAAAGGGCUCGGGAGUUUCUCAGGGAUAACCAGCAUCCCAUCAUGUUUUACAAUGUGCUGAUUAAGAAUUGUGAACAUUUUGCCACCCUGUGUAGGUAUGAGAAAGCCUUUAGUCUCCAAGUCCCUGGUUGGAUUUCGAAGACGUUCGAUUUUAUUUUCAUGUUGUGUUCCAUGUUGUGUUCCAUGUUGUGUUGGUUUUUUUAUAAGUUCUUUAAACCGCCACCUGGAGUUGAUAAUACGAGUGUUAUCAUGAAAGAAGUCAGAGCGAAUGAACAAAGAAACAAUAAUAUGCCUAUUGAAGAAUUGCAGUAAUAAUUAAGAUUAUAAUUACUUCAAUUUUUAGCGUUGCUCAUGCCUUAAGAUGGAUGCCACAUUGUUUGUUCAGCGCAUUGUUCAUUUUAUCUCUUCAAACCUCAGUAUGGUAUAGUAGAAAAAUAGCCAAAGAAAUAGUCUGUCUGGUGUUAUGUUCUAUGUAACGCGGGAAAGAAAAUUAAAAAUUAAAUAAAGUAAAUUUGAAUUCA